GCCCAAGUAGCUCAGUUGGUAGAGCAGGGGAUUGAAAAUCCCCGUGUCGCUGGUUCGAUUCCGGCCUUGGGCA
rnacentral:tRNA from 3 species